rnacentral:lncRNA from 1 species
UGGUUCACCCAACACCGUCAAUCUCAACAUGUGAACUCGCGUGGGAUGUUUCUUUCUGUUUAGUAAAACUGAGGGUCAUGCUUAUAUCUUUUACAAAGUAAACCUUUCCUUUGCCAAACAGAUAUAUAUUUUAAAUAUCAACAAGAAUGAUGAAGCCAGCGGCUGAUUUUAAUAUUUUCACACCAAAAAAACUUUCAGUUUCGCUAACAAGAAUUAAUGAAAUUACAUUUAUUUACAAUACACCAUCUCUGUGAUCGUCACUUGCUUUCUUCUUUUAAUUAAAUACCUUAUUUUUAAAAAAAUACUUGUAAGUAACUUUAAUAAACUUGUUAAUAAUUGACUGUAAACAGUUUG